AGAAUCAACGCUGGCGGCGUGCCUAACACAUGCAAGUCGAACGAGAAAGUGGAGCAAUCCAUGAGUAAAGAGGCGCACGGGUGAGUAACACGUGACUAACCUACCUUCGAGUGGGGAAUAACCUGGGGAAACCCGGGCUAAUACCGCAUAAUACCUACGGGUCAAAGGAGCAAUUCGCUUGAAGAGGGGGUCGCGGCAGAUUAGUUAGUUGGCGGGGUAAUGGCCCACCAAGACGAUGAUCUGUA
rnacentral:rRNA from 1 species